rnacentral:rRNA from 1 species
UACGGAGGGUCCAAGCGUUAUCCGGAAUCAUUGGGUUUAAAGGGUCCGUAGGCGGUUUUGUAAGUCAGUGGUGAAAGCCCAUCGCUCAACGGUGGAACGGCCAUUGAUACUGCAAGACUUGAAUUAUUAGGAAGUAACUAGAAUAUGUAGUGUAGCGGUGAAAUGCUUAGAGAUUACAUGGAAUACCAAUUGCGAAGGCAGGUUACUACUAGUUGAUUGACGCUGAUGGACGAAAGCGUGGGGAGCGAACAGG